rnacentral:ncRNA from 1 species
UAUAUGCCGAUGAAAAAGCAAAGUAGCUAGAAAUAAUACAUCAAAGAGAACAUAGGUCGUUGGCUGUGAGCCUAUGGAUGUACUUUUAGUGAAAUUUCACUUUGGAGGUCUUUUUUUGAAACGAUUGUAAGUAGGAAAAAGCAGGUAUGCCUGUUAUAGCUAAUUAAGUGCAUUUAAUUUGUUUUAAAUGAAUUUAGGUGGUAACGCGGAAUUUGAGAGUCAUUUCGUCCUAAUU